rnacentral:rRNA from 1 species
CCCUUAGAUGUCCUGGGCCGCACGCGCGUUACACUGAUGCAUUCAACGAGCUUGUAACCUUGGCCGAGAGGCCUGGGCAAUCUUGUUAACGUGCAUCGUGAUAGGGAUAGAUUAUUGAAAUUAUUAAUCUUGAACGAGGAAUUCCUAGUAAACGCAGAUCAUCAAUCUGCAUUGAUUACGUCCCUGCCCUUUGUACACACCGCCCGUCGCACCUACCGAUUGGAUGGUCCGGUGAAGCCUCGGGAUUGUGGUUCUUGCCGCUUUAUUGUGGCGUGACCGCGAGAACUUGUCUAAACCUUAUCAUCUAGAGGAAGGUGAAGUCGUAACA